rnacentral:rRNA from 1 species
GAUGAACGCUGACAGAAUGCUUAACACAUGCAAGUCUUUGGUGAAGCUGUGCUUGCACAGCCUAGCCAAGGCGGACGGGUGAGUAACGCGUAAGGAACUUGCCCUGCAGUCAGGGAUAACAGACGGAAACGACUGAUAAGACCUGGUAAAGUCAGGCGGACUCAUGUCCAGCCUGAUGAAAAGAGAUGCUGCAGGAGAGCCUUGCGUCCUAUUAGCUUGUUGGUGGGGUAACGGCCCACCAAGGCAAUGAUAGGUAGCCGGCCUGAGAGGGUGGACGGCCACAAGGGGACUGAGAUACGGCCCUGACUCCUACGGGAGGCAGCAGUGGGGAAUAUUGGACAAUGGGGGCAACCCUGAUCCAGCAAUUCUGUGUGCACGAUGAAGGUCUUCGGAUUGUAAAGUGCUUUCAGCAGGGAAGAAAAAAAUGACGGUACCUGCAGAAGAAGCGACGGCUAAAUACGUG